CCAAGCAGGCUUGCGGAGCAGGGGACACGCUCUGCUGAGGCCCCAUCCUCUGCCGCACAAGGAGAGGAAGGGGACUGCUUGCUUACAACCUGUCCCACCCAGACGCCUCCCUGGGAUGCCAGGGUCCUCGCGGGCCCCAGGGAUGCAGAAGGCCUGUGUGCUUGGGUGGCCCUUGUCACAUGCCUCGGCUGGAGAAACAACAGGGAAGGAAACAGAGGCUUUGGCCGCGUGUAGCCUGCGUUCUCCAGCAGGGAGAUGGGAGCAAAGCUGGAGACCGUGCGGGGGGAGAACAGAAAGGAGCCUCGGGGGACACAAGGCAGAAGAUGGGGAGAGAAGAUAAACAAGAAGACACCAGAACCAGAAAAUGAGAAAGACAGAGACAAAAGAAAUCAGGCAGAAGACAAGACAGAGAAAAACGGAGAAGCAUGCAGACAUGCUCUGCGGACAAAUCAUUUCAUCUUUACCACCUGGGGAGGAGUGCUGGCCAACGUGAGUUUCCCACCUUCACUCUUCUGCAAAUGCAGACCAACUCCAAUAUCAGGUGUGAUGGCAUUCGGCUGCAUUUUACAUGGUUGGAUCUUUGGGGCUCUGCUCACUAGAUGAAGGUGAGUCCGUUAUCACUCCUCCAGUUCUGGAUGAAGAACACUGAGGCCCAGGAAUUCCAAGGGGGGGAGGAUUUGAACCUGGUACGUGGAUGCUAAGACCUGUUCCCUGCUCCUGCUUCCUGGUUCUCUGGGAAGGGAGGGAUGAGGCCAGGUUACGAGGUGGAACAGCAGCUCAAGUGGAAAACAAGCAGGAGUCAAGACAGAUAACAAGGUGGAGGGGAUGAGGUUGUGGAGCGGCAGCACAGGGCCUGCUGGGCAGGGCCAACUGGGCUGCCGGACAGAGGGAGUGGAGCGCAUCCACCACGGACGGCAUCCCAUGAGCCCCUGCACAGUGGGGGCUGUGACGGCGGCCAUCUCAUCUUGUCAACCACGUGAUGCUAUUAGAAAGACAGAGGUCCGGUCAUGCCCUCUGCCCAUAAGCUCCCAUGGCUCCCCGCUGCACACUGAGAAAACUUCAAGUCCUUGCAGUAGCCUGGGAGGUCCUGCCCUACCGGCCCCGCUCUUGCCUGACCUUGACUCCAGCUGGUCUCCCCACACUCACGUGCUCUGGACCUGCCCUCCUGCAAAGCUCUUCCCUGAGACCCCUGCAUGGGCCCCUCACUUUGCCAAGCUCUUUUUGAGGGAAGCCUUCCCUGACCAGCAUCUCCCCAACCCACUACCCUUCCCCUUUCGUGGUUUAAUUCUUACUUCCCGCAGCACUUAUCAUCGUCUAGUACGCCAUGUGUUGACUCGUUUGUUUAGUGUGUGGCAACCCUGCGAUAAUGUCAGCUCCAUCAGGACCAGGAUGUUGUCUGUUUUGUUCACUGCCAUGUCCCCGGAGCCUAG